rnacentral:rRNA from 1 species
AACGUAGGACGCAAGCGUUAUCCGGAGUUACUGGGCGUAAAGCGCGGGCAGGCGGCUCGAAACGUCUGAUGUGAAAUCUCCUCGCUCAACGGGGAGAGGCCAUUGGAAACGGUCGGGCUGGAGGCAGUAGAGGCAGGCGGAAUUCCGGGUGGAGUGGUGAAAUGCGUAGAGAUCCGGAGGAACACCAGAGGCGAAGGCGGCCUGCUGGGCUGCACCUGACGCUGAACCGCGAAAGCCAGGGGAGCGAACGGGAGUUAAG